rnacentral:lncRNA from 1 species
GCGAAUCUUAUCUUCCUAAGCAGUAGUGAAGCAGAUUUAAGCCACCAGUCCUAUCUCCCUAAGUAGUAGUAGAGCAGUUCGAAGAUGGUAGAUCCUAUCUCCCUAAGCAGUAGUGGAGCAGAUCGAAGACGGUGAAUCUUAUCUUCCUAAGCAGUAGUGAAGUAGAUUUAAGCCACCAGUCAUAUCUCCCUAAGCAGUAGUGGAGCAGGUCGAAGAUGGUAGAUCCUAUCUCCCUAAGCAGUAGUGGAGCAGGUCAAAGAUGGUAGAUUUUAUCUCCCUAAGCAGUAGUGGAGCAGAUCGAAGACGGCGAAUCUUAUCUUCCUAAGCAGUAGUGAAGCAGAUUUAAGCCAUCAGUCCUAUCUCCCUAAGCAGUAGUGGAGCAGGUCGAAGAUGGUAGAUCCUAUCUCC